rnacentral:lncRNA from 12 species
AUGAGCUCAUCCAGCUCUCCCUGUUUUUCCUGCCUCGAGUGGAGCCCGGAGCUCCCCUUGGACAUUCCUGAACACCCAGGAGGUAGAGGCCACAGAUGUUAUCAGACUGAUGCAUUCAGGAGAGAGAGAAAAGUAACUGUGUACUCACACUAUCAGAGAAGCCUCCAAUCUGGUUGGAAGGUUUUUCUCAAGGAAGACAAAGGCACGGCGUCCCUCGUCCCUCACUGUGUGGUUGUCUGUAGGCAGAGUGAACCCCCUUGUCUGCGAGCCUGGAGGGGCCCCAGGGCCUGGGAUUCUGCUCCUGGAUUUGUAGCGUGUUACUGAGCGCCGCUGAUCUGGGAGCUGGGACGGCUGCUCUCUAGGCCUCUUCAUGGAGAACAUGUAUGUUAGUUGGAUAAAAUAAUAGCAGCCCGACCGCGCCCGUGAACUCUGCGGACCACACCCUGCACGUCCUCUUCUUGGAGCCAGGCUUGUGCUGGUGGGAAAUGACACAGUAUCUUCAAAUGCAAAAGCCCAUGCGUGACAACCAAAGAUCUAAGAAGUCCCAUGAACCCGGAAAUCUUUACUAUGUGCCUGUUACUCUGCUUCCAAUGGAAUAUUUCAAUAUUUAAGAGCUUUUGAUGGAAGCUACCAGCCUUCCAACAAAUCAC